rnacentral:rRNA from 1 species
UGGGGAAUUUUGGACAAUGGGGGGAACCCUGAUCCAGCCAUGCCGCGUGCGGGAAGAAGGCCUUCGGGUUGUAAACCGCUUUUGCCGGAAAGCGGUACCGGCAGAAUAAGCACCGGCUAACUACGUGCCACAGCCGCGGUAAACCGGUUACUCCUAC